rnacentral:rRNA from 1 species
AUGAUCCUCCUCAUCAAAGAUGAUUGGCGUGCGGGACCAUUUGAGCGGUUUCUCGGCCUCUGGUGCUGGCUCCACGGCAUUGAUCUCUCGUACACAUCGCUUGAGCUGGUGACGGGGGUGUGA